CCCACCUAUUGGAUGAUGCGUUGACAAGCUUUCCGCUCAACCAAUGAGGUGGUAGGGGUGCUGAGCGCGGUCACGCCCUCUCUCCACCCGAUUGGGCGCGCGGGAGAGCGGCAGAUCCACCAGCCAAUGAGAGCGCCGGGAACGAAGGGAGGAGGCGUGGCUUAGCUCUCCCGCGCCCGAGCGGCGUUGAGGGCGGUGCGGGCGCCAUUUUGUGCGGAGCCCCCGAGCCAGGAGGCGGCGGCGGCGGCGGCGGGGCCCAGCGGCUCCCCCGGCCGAUCCGAGGACGCUCUUGGCAACCCCCACCCCACCACCACCACCCC